rnacentral:rRNA from 8 species
UGUACACACCGCCCGUCACACCACGAGAGUUUGUAACACCCGAAGUCGGUGAGGUAACCGUAAGGAGCCAGCCGCCUAAGGUGGGAUAGAUGAUUGGGGUGAAGUCGUAACAAGGUAGCCGUAUCGGAAGGUGCGGCUGGAUCACCUCCUUU